rnacentral:rRNA from 1 species
UCACUCUGGGAUGGACCUGCGGUGCAUUAGCUAGUUGGUAAGGUAACGGCUUACCAAGGCGAUGAUGCAUAGCCGAGUUGAGAGACUGAUCGGCCACAAUGGAACUGAGACACGGUCCAUACUCCUACGGGAGGCAGCAGUAGGGAAUCUUCCACAAUGGGCGCAAGCCUGAUGGAGCAACACCGCGUGAGUGAAGAAGGGUUUCGGCUCGUAAAGCUCUGUUGUUGGAGAAGAACGUGCGUGAGAGUAACUGUUCACGCAGUGACGGUAUCCAACCAGAAAGUCACGGCUAACUACGUGCCAGCAGCCGCGGUAAUACGUAGGUGGCAAGCGUUAUCCGGAUUUAUUGGGCGUAAAGCGAGCGCAGGCGGUUGCUUAGGUCUGAUU